AUUGAACGCUGGCGGCAGGCCUAACACAUGCAAGUCGAACGAGUGGCGGACGGGUGAGUAAUGUCUGGGAAACUGCCUGAUGGAGGGGGAUAACUACUGGAAACGGUAGCUAAUACCGCAUACCAUCGGAUGUGCCAAAAUGGGAUUAGCUUGUUGGUGGGGUAACGGCUCACCAAGGCGACGAUCCCGAGCUGGUCUGAGAGGAUGACCAGCCACACGGGAACUGAGACACGGUCCAGAAUCCUACGGGAGGCAGCAGUGGGGAAUAUUGCACAAUGGGCGCAAGCCUGAUGAAGCCAUGCCGCGUGUAUGAAGAAGGCAUUCGGGUUGUAAAGUACUUUCAGCGGGGAGGCGUUACCCGCAGAAGAAGCACAGGCUAACUCCGUGCCAGCAGCCGCGGUAAUAC
rnacentral:rRNA from 1 species